rnacentral:rRNA from 1 species
ACACGGAGGGCGCAAGCGUUGCUCGGAAUCACUGGGCGUAAAGCGGGUGUAGGCGGUCUAGCAAGUCAGAUGUGAAAGCCCACGGCUCAACCGUGGAAGUGCAUCUGAAACUGCGAGACUUGAGUGCCGGAGAGGGAAGUGGAAUUCCUGGUGUAGGGGUGAAAUCCGUAGAUAUCAGGAGGAACACCGGUGGCGAAGGCGACUUCCUGGACGGCCACUGACGCUGAGACCCGAAAGCGUGGGGAGCAAACAGGAUUAGAAACCCUAGUAGUCC